rnacentral:lncRNA from 1 species
CCAGGAUCUCUUUGAAUCAAAGUUCAGAGCAUUCCUACUCCGAGGCUGCUAUCUAUUUGCAAGGAGGGAAGUUCAAAAGCCUCUAAUGAAACCCUCAUGAGCCUUAGAGUCCUACCAGUGUUCCUAGGUAGAUAGUUGUGGCAUAUUCCACAUUCGCUUCAUGUAUGACAACCAGAAACAUCUCCACACAUUACCAAAUGCUUCCUGGAAAACAAUCAUACCUCCUGUCUAUGGCAGAGAAGAGGAACAGGAUGGAAGAUUCAAACAGCAGUUAAUCAGUCUCCUUGGACUUGACACGUCACUUUCUGAUGUAUUCCAUUAGCAAAGGGAAGCUUUUGUUAAUGGCUACAUUUGUUAUUCAUCCUGUGUGUGUGUGGAGGAGGACCAUUAGGAACAACAGUGAAACUAAUUACAAACAUCACUUUCAAGUCAAGAUCCACACAAAGUUAUAAUCUGAAAAGCAAGAAAGAGAAGUAACUCACUAUAGAAAGAAUCAAUCUAUGUUUGAAGAAUCUUUGAUAAAAGGAAAUCCAAUGAAAACCUACGUGUGUGUCUCAGACACGUUAGUAUCUCAUGCAGUCCAUAUAUAAGAACAGUAACAUCUCCAGGAAACAUCUACAAUGCAUAGGCUUUGAUUUCCAGGGAAGCUUAGAGAAUUAAGGAUCCCACUCAGAUAAAAAGAAUGACAGUCAAAUCCCUGCUUUGUAUCAAAAGCCUUUUCUUACAACCUGUAUUUUUAAUGUCCAUAGUUGAACAAGAUCCAUAAUUCUGCCCUUCCUGUGAGAAGAUAAAUUCUCCCCUGCCUUCCCACACAUGUCUUCCGUGAUGCAUUUUCAGAAAUUUCAUGGUGUCUGAUCUGCACAAAUGACAUAAAUCCUGUUUGAGACAGAGGAGACCAGAGUACAAGCUAAUUUCUUGUGGCAGCUCCUGCCUAUAACAUCUCUUCAUUUGAACAGCUCCUUCUUAACUUCUGGUAGAUCUGUUUCCUUGAACCCCUUGUUUCUGCUUGGAGGCAUCUCCACCUAAUUUCAGUGACUCAGACUUCUCGAAAGGAGGCAAGACGCUUAAGUUUGAUUUAAUUAAGAGAAUUUGGUUCUUUAGUAACACAAGCCUGACACCUUCUGGAAAGUACAAAACUAUUACAUCCCCUAAAGUUCCUUUGUUCAGUACUGAGGAAGCUAGGGGCUAGACCUGCUGGAAACAGUAUGGAAGGUUCUGGGAACCUCAUUCUAGAAGGUUCCUCGCCUGAGUAAUAUUCAUGGAUAAAUGAAAUUGUAUGGGGAAAAACGUUAUAACUUUAUUCCCAUAGGAUGUUAUGGGAUGUCCAACAUUUUCUUUUUUUAUUAAUGUAGUUAAUUAGCCAUUGUAG